CUUGCCUCAUCAAUCACUUUUGCAAAUUGCUGCAGAGUGGAAGUCAUGACUUCAUCAUCUCCCCCCAGUGGGAAACGCUGAGAAAAGGUUAAUGCAUUUUCAGAAAGGAAAGGACAAAGGGAGAUGAACAACUGUGUUAAAAAGUUGAAACUGUGGGCAACUACUGGAACCACUAUGGUACAUCCCUAAGGAAAAGGGUAAAGAUGAGUGGUAUUAAACAGCAUGCCAGGAAUACAGGUUCCUUCUGCAGUGAGAUCCAAAUAAAGGCUGUGGUUUUCCCAUAUUGUCCAACCUGCACAAAGACAGUUGCUGGCUGUGCUUGGACCUGUAAUUCACCUGUGCAAUAACCACCAAUUCUGUGACCAAAAGGUUGAGGAACUAAACCCCCACCAAACCAAACAAUACAACCUACAUCUGGUUGUCCUCAAGACAAGUGUUUUCACCACUGAAAGGGAGUGAAAAGAUCUGUCCUUUUGUCCUUAUCUCAGCUUGUCAGUCUGUUUGUUCCUUAGCUGGUGUCAGGCACAAGCCUGAUGACUCUGUGUUCUACUGCACUGCCCACAUCACUGAGGAAGGUGCUUAACAGCAUCCACCUCAAAAAUCAACCUCACUGUCCACCUAUUAGACUUCAAAACACUGAUCUCUAUCUGUGAGCCCACCUAUUCAGUUUUUCCACUCAGGUCAGUCCAAACCUCGCCCUUUGGCCAGAAGUAACCAGAGAGCGUGUCACAGUCCUUGCGCAAGCCAAGUGACACCCCUGCUCUCCCUGAGCUGGAAUGACUGACUUGGGAUGAGCAGGCAAUCAGGUCACUCAGGUAUAAUUUGCCCUUUCAGCUUAAAUGAGAUGCUGACUCGGUGUCCUUGCAUCCUUUUUGCACUUGGAAGCAAAGUUAGUCCUCACUACAAGGAUAUUGAAUGGCUUCCUUCCACCAAGACAGAAAGCCCAGAGGGGGAAGAGCAGAAGAUGUUCCUGUAACUCUGCACAGGCUCCACUGGCUUUUCCUAUUCUAAAACAUUGGUUGGGAUGCUUGGAUGUAGAAAUAGGAGUAUUGCUUGCAAGAGCCACAACAGAAACACUUUAGUAAUGUUUUAGCAAAAAGACUGUGCUUUGGUUUUAGGUUUACAUUAAAAUUAAUGCCCAGACAGAAGAUUGAAAGAAUCUUAAGUACGUAAUUGGGGGUUUUCCCAAAUUAUGAUUGUUAAACACUUGAAAUUGGAAAUUCUCUUAGUCUUCCCUAGGCUGAAUAACUGUGGUUUCCUCAAAGAGGAGGGGAAGGAACUAAUGGGGCCUGGGAAAAGAAUAAAAGACUGGCAGACUUUAAUGCUGGUUCUAGCUUAUAAAACAAGUGGAAAAGGGAGAUAGAGGAGGAAAGAGGUGGAGAAGAACUCAAAUCUUUGCCAGGUGUGGCAAUAUGUGUCAUCCUAACAGCCAUGACUCUCCCAUUAAAGGAGACAGACACGAAAGAAUGCAAAAGAAAAAAUUACAUGGUACUGUAACCACUGAAUUAUAUACUCAUGACCUUUAAGCCUGACCACAAAUAAACCUGAACUUGUAAUUUAAGGGAAUAUCAUGUAAGGUUUCGGGAUUACACUUACUCUUUAAAACCAAACACUGAAGAAAAAUGGUAUUCUAUGUUUUUUAUGUUAAAAAACUGGCAUUGUAUGAAACUGAUAGAAAGAAAUUAACCCGAAACUAUAAACAAAUUAUGGCAGACUAUUGCUUAGCAGAAAAUUAGAGGAAUUGUUCACUCAUGUUUUUAGUAAAACUUUGCCUCAUUUUGCAUGUUCUUUAGGAUGCUUUCAAACUGUGUAUAUGAGCAGGGAAACAGAAAAGCACCAGCGAGAAGCUGCACAAAGAAACCACUUGGUUAGAAGUCAGUGAACUGUGAAGGCUUCUAUGCCAUGCAAUGUACUACUCACAGGUGAUACUGCAAGAGCCUGUGCUAUCCAAUCUCUUGGCUUUUUUGUUGUGCAAUGCUUUGGGAAUGCAAAUCAGUCUGAGCAGAAACUCUCCCUAAAUAUACACUGAGUGUGUAAUAUAUGUCCUGAGUUCUGACUUAAAUUGCUCUGCUUUGCAUAGCAAAAGACUAUGUAAACUUGGCAUUUGGUUUAGGCCUGACAACACAGUGGUUAGAUUUUUAUCCUGUGACAACAGGAAGUGAAAGGGGUUUGAAAUUUUAGAAAAGGCCUUCCUUCCCUCAGACACAGAAUAAGUUUGAUGUUUAUAUACCUACAGUUGGUGUCUGGAAUCUGUCUAAGCUCCGGGCCAUAGUUCAGCACUAAACAAUGACCUGGGCUGAUGAGCUUUUUCAUUAUCACAGUAGGAAUGCAUCAGUCAUGGCAACUCCUCAAGAGGAGAGUUCUGCUUUCUUCAAGCAACAUUUGUUGUCAUUUCCAUUGCACUGAUUUCAAAGUAAGAGAAAUUAAGUAAUGUAACAGAAAUGGACUAAUGUAACAGAAAGCUACAGAAUCCUUGCUAUGUUCUUCUAAGACAUGGUUGCCAGAAUUCACCUAAACCAGAAAAUUAUAUUGGCAAAUCCAAUUGUUUAAGCACAACAAACUCAUUGGGUUGAAUUAGACUUUGCUAGUCUGUGUCACAAAUAACCUCAAACUACUCUAGAAUUUACAAUUAUGUUCCAAUAAGAAACCUUUUUUGCACAUGCUUCCCGAACGUCCUCAGAUGAUCCUAAGUUUAUUUUACAUUUGGCAUUUCCUAUAAAUAUGAAUAGUUCUGACUUCCUUAUACUAAGAUUAUCAAGAGAUAAUUAUUUUUUUUUAAUCACUAUUGUUGUAACACUUUCAAAAAUUUUUCCUCCUCAUGAGAUGACACCACGUUUAGCCAGAGGCCCCAUGACAGGCCAGAUCUCAUCUCACAUGUAGUAUCUGAGCUAUUUGGGGCACUGCUGUUCAGAAAGCAAUGACUCCCUUUCUGCAUGGCCUUCUAGUGCCUUCUCUAAGUCGUUCCUCCCCUUGGUUUAGAAUUGUUAAAGUGACUGUCAUUUUAGAGAGUUAAAAUUCCCUAUUAAGCAAGUGAAAGUUUUUCUUCCGAUGGCCAAGGAAUCAAAGCUACAGCACAGAUGCUGUUACAAUACAGGACGUCUUGCUCACUACGUAAACUGUGCAUCAGAGCAAGGAUCUUAAUUUAAAAGGCUGCAAUAAAGGAAAACACACUGUAAACUUUUUUUCCCCCACAUCUAAGAAGAGCACUACAAGUACCUGCUGUUGUUGCUGCCAGCGAGAGAAACCCGUGCAAUGGAAUAAAGCCUUUCCUGCUUUAGAGAGCAAUGCCACCGCACUACGGGGCAUCUCUGACAAAGGUCAGGCACAGCAAUGGCACGGAAGGAUCGGGGCAAUUAAAGGCCUUUGGGCUCCAUGUGCUUCCCCCCUACUGUCAGCACAAACCACCGCCGCGACCCAACACCUCCUUUUCGCAUGGAUCUAUUAAACCUUAACGCGGUUUUAGCGAAAGAUAAAGAUAACACAAAUCGCCUUGAGAA